rnacentral:lncRNA from 1 species
UCUGUAUCUAUAAUUCUUAAAAUAAUUGUUAUGUUUUUUGUGAACGUUUAUCGUGAGUAAUUUAGUAAAUUCACCGGAUGUUUGCGGGGGUAUGCUAGUUCUGAACGUCACAUGCUAAUGUAAAAAAGCUGUUUUUUGAUAUAAAUAUGAACUUGAUUGAACAAAACAUGCAUGCAUUGUAUAACAUAAUGUCCUAGGGUGGUCAUCUGAUGAAGAUCAUCAAAGGUUAGUGCUGCAUUUAGCUGUGGUUUUGUUUUUUGUGACAUUAUAUGCUAGCUUGAAAAAUGGGUGUCUGAUUAUUUCUGGCUGGGUACUCUGCUCACAUAAUCUAAUGUUUUGCUUUCACUGUAAAGCCUUUUUGAAAUCGGACAGUGUGGUUAGAUUAACGAGAGUCUUGUCUUUAAAAUGCUGUAAUAUAGUCAUAUGUUUGAAAAAUGGAAGUUUUCAGAUUUUAGAGGAGUUUGUAUUUCGCGCCACGCCCAUCAUUGGAUAUUGGAGCAGGUGUUCCGCUAGCGGAACGUCUAGAUGUAAGAGGAUAACAUCACAAUAAAUGUGUUAAUCAUUUUAAAAUAAUUGAAUUGAAAGGUCAACAGGACUAACUUAUUGAUUAUAUACUGAAGUUUAUAACAUGAUAUUUUUGUAUAUACACUAAAUAUCAACUUUGUAUAAGAUUAUUUGAACAUUAUCUAUCACAUAAGUAUAGUUUAAUGUUGAAAAUGAUGUAUGACAGAAAUCAGAUAAAUAAUAUCUUGUCAAUGCCAUACUUCAGAGCAGUGACACAUAACAGGACACUCACACUACUCACUACCUUCAGCCACCUUGUUGCCAAAAUCUCCCCUCAGCUGUUUAUCUUCUGAACAGCAUGUAAAACAACAUGUUGGUUGUUGGCCUAUCCAGCACAGUGUCAAAGCUAUCUAGCGAGACCCUCCCUUCUCCAAUUGGCUAUCGAGCGGUCGCAUCACUGAACAUUUGCAUAAAGUUGGAAACUUCUUGAACUUUAGUCAGAUCUCUCUAGUUGCAAACUGUUAAAUUACUGAAUGUGUCCUCCCAUUGGAUAAGACUGAUUUCUAGUAGCUUAGUAUCUGAAAGUAGUGAGCAUUAUGAGCACCCCGUAAAAGGAGGUCAGUCACCUCUUUCUGAGAGACCUCUGAUACAGGGCAGUUUCCCAUCUCCGUGGAGGUAGAGGAGAGGCUGCACAAACCCACUGAUCACACUGAUGUAGAGACAAACAUAUUUGGCAUGAAAGAACUGCCCCGAAUCCAAGAUUGCAAAGCAAGGUAAAACCACUACCCAUGGAAGGUAGUUUGCCAUCAUAGACACCAAGAUAAUCAAAAUGAUCUUAAACGCCCUCAUCUUCAUGUUAUUUGUCCCCUCUCGCUCCCCUUCCCCUGGCCCAGGCUGUUUCAGAGCCCUGAGAACUGAGAGGCAGCAGAAUAACAUCAAUGAAAUUAAGACCAGAACUUCACCCAAAUACACAUAUAUGACAAUUUGGUUGUCUCUUACAAGCGUAGAAGUACAACAGAACCCAAUCAAAACCAGGCAAACCAAUCCAGAACACCCCACCUUGUAUCUCAGGAGUCUGUACUUCAGGAAGACCACAGGGUGGACAACUGCCAGGUAGCGCUCAAAACAUAUACAGCACUGGAACAGGGGGCGGCCGUGGUAUAUAAAACCACUAAAGAAUGUAAUUAGAGCUAGGAGAGGAGGAAUAUGGAGGUGUAUGUUGACAAAGACAAAGACAGCACACAGGCAUUCUUCACUCUCAACUUGACCAUGUCUGAAAUGAUUGUCUGCCUAUUGGACAUAUUUUCUUUGAGUUAUUUCUUCCCAUGUGUUUAUAUUUGGUCUGCUGUGCAAUUUUUCUCUGGUUUCUUGAU